GGUGACCCAACACUGGAGCCUACCCAGACUCUUUGGUGAGGCUAAUGGCAGACUCUGGGAGGGCUCACGCCAAGGAGUACUUCCCAGAACUUCUGCUGCCAGUGUCCUUGUCCUCACAGUGAGACACAGCCACCCCCUGCCUCUGCAGGAGACCCUCCAACGCCAGCAGAACUUCUGGCACGGUGUGAGACACACAGCAAGUGUGCAGGAAACAGCUGCCAGACUGAAGGACAGAGUGUCAGCAGAGUUGGUCAUCAUUCCAAAAUGAAAAUGGACAGCCAAGGCAGCAAGGAGGGCUCAUGACAAGUAACACAGAUGAGAACGGGAAGGGAGAGGACAACAGAAGAGAUGAUCAUCACCAAACUGGGAAAGAUGCACUGGAGUUUAUAAAUAUAGAUGCCACACAGCACACUGUGCACCAGCCUUGUCAAAUAAGUAGGCCUCUCCUUGGCUGCCCCCAGCACUCACUGUAUCAUCCCCUGGCAGUGGGCAUCAGCAACUUAGGAGGAAGGGUCCUAAUCUAUCUGGGCAUUAUUACUGUGCUAGGUCCCACCACAGUUAAAUGUAAGCACCAACUGGCAAACCACAGGGGACAUCAACUUCAUGCCAAAUGAUAAAACGAAGCUUUAAGACCACUUCAGGCUCAGGCUUAGCCUCAAAUAAAGAGAUACACGGACCACUUUAAGGAAUGUCAGUGGUGUAGCAGCUGACAGACUCAAUUUUUAAAGAUCUCAUUAAUGAGAACCUCUCCAAGAACAGAGAUUAUUUAUUUGGGGGUAAGUUAUCUAUGUAAUUUGAAUAUUGCGCUCUGCCAACAAAUUCCAGUACAUGGGAAACUAUUUUUAAAUGUGAAUGCAGCUAACUUAAAAGAUAGGAACACAGUCUAUAGUUUCUUUUUAAAUAGAGAUAAUUACAUUUUUAGGAAGUACAGCAAAUUCACAAAUGUUCAGAGCUAUCACUCUCACUUUUUAAAAAACAUCCAGAUAAUCUAAAAAUAUGCAAUUCUUUCAUCUUUGGUUCAAAUAGUUAACUUUGCAUUGUGUGGCAUAAUGUCUGGCCCAUAGAAUUGUUAUUCCUCAAUAAUUACUUGCUGAGUAAAUGAAUGAAUGGUAAUAUACUCUUCAGAAUGAUUUUUUUUAAAGCUGCCAUUUAUGAUGACAUUACUCCAUAAUUACAACCAUCAAGGCUGGCAAUGUAAUGACAUUCCUUUAAGUUUAUCUAUUCUUUAAAAUUUAACACUGAUGGUCAAUACAUUGCCAAAGGAAGUUCUGGAGAUAGAAGACUUUCAGGUGUUUUCUUUCAGUGUUUGAACGGUGCAGCCUUAAGGAGAUGCUCUAGGUAAGCAAGAUGAGAAAUGUGGACAGUUUCACGUGGAAAGGAAACUGAGGUACGGCUUACAUAAUUCCUUAAUUAGGAAACCCCUGAUUAAGUCUCAUUUUAGAAAAAAAAGCCAGCUGAUAAAUGGAACACACAAACUAGGAUUUGAAAUUUUCCUGUAUGAACUUUCCUCAGGAGAGCUCAGUUUCCCUAACCUGAAACUUACCUAGUCAAAUGCUAAGUCAUUUUUGGCACAUUCAUCCAAACAUGUUCUCAGCACCUUCUGUGUGUUUCAGAUAAUGUGCUAGGUUGUAGGCCCAAAGAAAGAGGAACAAGCCAAAAUUCUGUCCAGUAAAGGGAGACUAGAUAGAUCUUUCUAAAAAGUAACGUCUAGAGUACUCGGUUAAAAAGUGAGUGAAGGAGAGCUAAAGUCACCAACUAAUUUCCAACAGAGUAGAAGUCAUUACAAGAUCCUCAUUUCAGCAGGCUGAUAAAGUAGUCAGGUGUGCCACAUAAAAAUCUAGCGAUAUUUCUUCUAGAUAUUUUGAGACAGACAUAAGAAACAUGGGGAAAUGUUGAAGGUCUGAUUAAAAAAACUUUCUAUCACUUCUUUAGGAAAUCAUUUUGGUGGCAGAUACCUUGCUAAAUUCAGUUUUGGGUGUUUUAAAGUGUUAAAGAUCAGAGUUUGUUCAGUGAUCACGUAUCACCAUCACCCAGAGGAAAACCAUUACUCCGUAAGGCGCAACCUUCCUAAGCAGUUGUCAAGCGCAUAAAAACCAAUAAUGAUUUUUGUGCCCACAGAAGACAAUGCAAAUCCCCCAAAUAACCAAUUCUUUAAAGCAGUGCUGUCCAACAGAACCUUCUGUGAUGACAGAAAUGUUCUGUAUCUGCAUGUUGAAUACAGCAGCUCUUAGGCACAUGUGGCUAUUGAGCACUUGAAGUGUUGCUAGUGAGACUGAAGAACUGAAUUUUUAUUUACAUUUUAAUGAAUUUAAAUUUAAAUAGCCAGAUGUGGCUAGUGGCUACCAAACUGUAUACUGUAGCUCUAAAAUCUACAAUUAAUUCAGUUAUAAACAAAAUAAAGUUUGCUUUAUAAGUUAAGGACAAGAAAAAAGGCAGCUGAAUUAACCCUGGAGAGGGAUCUCUAAGGCGAAAAACAAAUGGAUGGUUCGCAUCAGUCGGUAGCUUUUUGUGGGAAUGGUUGAAUCACAACAGCUCUUGUUAUACCAUAGCAGAGAAAGGAAGCUGUCUCAAAGGUAGAGGUCUAACGGGAGAUCCUGAUGUACGGUAAUCAAGGCCUAUUCCAAUCCAGUUUUGUUUUUUUUUUUUUUUGACUUACUAGUUUUCAGAACUAUCUAAGAAAUGUGGGAACUACAAAACAAAUGCAAACCAUGUCCCUUUGUUUCGCUAUAACUAGCAGACUUUGGGGGACUGGGUCUGUCGCAGUACUUCGCUGUUAUUUGUUAUCUCUCCUCUGGUCUCUGUUGGCCACCUUGGUGUCCUGUCUUCUCUAUCAUGUUUCACGCUCUCAGUCAUCAGUUGUACAGGCAGCCCACAACUUUUUGGACUUGGAUUUUGUUGCUCUGCUUAUUCAACAUUUCUAAUAAACAUUUAAAAUUA